GGAAGGAUCAUUAUUGAAACAUUGUAAAGGAGAGUUGAGCUGGUCCUUCUAGGGCAAGUGCUCGCUUUUCUUUCAAUCUUCAUCCACCUGUGCACUUUUUGUAGAGAGUCUUUGAGAAAGGGGCCCUAGGUCCUAAGUAUUGGGGCUUUCUAUGUUUUUACAAACUCUAAACGUAUGUCUUUGAAUGUCUUUUAUAAGGGACUUAAUUGGACCUUUUAAAAACUAUACAACUUUCAGCAACGGAUCUCUUGGCUCUCGCAUCGAUGAAGAACGCAGCGAAAUGUGAUAAGUAAUGUGAAUUGCAGAAUUCAGUGAAUCAUCGAAUCUUUGAACGCACCUUGCGCCCCUUGGUAUUCCGAGGGGCAUGCCUGUUUGAGUGUCAUUAAAUUCUCAACCUUAUAAGCUUUUGUUUAUAAGGCUUGGAUGUGGAGGCUUUGCUGGCUUGUUAAGAGUCGGCUCCUCUUAAAUACAUUAGUGGAAACUGUUUGUAGUCCGCAUUGGUGUGAUAAUUAUCAGCGCUAUUGUGGCUACAAGCUCUUGUGGUGUUCGUGUGGGAAGUGCAUGAAUUGUGCUCUUUCUGUUUCAUCUGACCCACGAUGAGUAUAGUGUCUGCUUCAAACCGUCCUGUAUUGGACAAUAUUUGACUAUUUUGACCUCAAAUCAGGUAGGGCUACCCGCUGAACUUAAGCAUAUCAAUAAGCGGAGGAAAAGAAACUAACAAGGAUUCCCCUAGUAACUGCGAGUGAAGAGGGAAAAGCUCAAAUUUAAAAUCUGGCAGUUUCACUGUCCGAGUUGUAAUUUAGAGAAGUGUUACCCGCGUUGGACCGUGUAUAAGUCUCCUGGAAUGGAGCGUCAUAGAGGGUGAGAAUCCCGUCUUUGACACGGACUACCAAGGCAUUGUGGUGCGCUCUCAAAGAGUCGAGUUGUUUGGGAAUGCAGCUCUAAAUGGGUGGUAAAUUCCAUCUAAAGCUAAAUAUUGGCGAGAGACCGAUAGCGAACAAGUACCGUGAGGGAAAGAUGAAAAGAACUUUGGAAAGAGAGUUAAACAGUACGUGAAAUUGCUGAAAGGGAAACGCUUGAAGUCAGUCGCGUUGACCGGGGAUCAGCCUUGCUUUUGUGAGGUGUACUUCCUGGUUGACGGGUCAGCAUCAGUUUCGACCAUUGGAAAAAGGCUUGGGGAAUGUGGCACCUUCGGGUGUGUUAUAGCCCCUUGUCGUAUACAGUGGUUGGGACUGAGGAACUCAGCACGCCGCAAGGCCGGGUUUCGACCACGUUCGUGCUUAGGAUGCUGGCAAAAUGGCUUUAAUCGACCCGUCUUGAAACACGGACCAAGGAGUCUAACAUGCCUGCGAGUGUUUGGGUGGAAAACCCGAGCGCGUAAUGAAAGUGAAAGUUGGGAUCUCUGUCGUGGAGAGCACCGACGCCCGGACCAGAUGUUUACUGACGGAUCUGCGGUAGAGCAUGUAUGUUGGGACCCGAAAGAUGGUGAACUAUGCCUGAAUAGGGUGAAGCCAGAGGAAACUCUGGUGGAGGCUCGUAGCGAUUCUGACGUGCAAAUCGAUCGUCAAAUUUGGGUAUAGGGGCGAAAGACUAAUCGAACCAUCUAGUAGCUGGUUCCUGC
rnacentral:misc_RNA from 1 species